rnacentral:ncRNA from 1 species
UUAAAGUUUUAUUUUGGCUUAAAAAUUUAUUAUUAAUUUGAUUUAUAUGUAAAUUUUUGUAUGAAUUUAUAUUUAUUUAAAAAAUAUUUAUAAUUUAUUUAUUCGCAGUAAUUAAUAUUAUUAAUUAAAGAAAUUUAGAAAUAGCAAUAUUAAAGAGUAUUGACUAAAUUGGUGCCAGCAGUCGCGGUUAUACUAAUAAUACAAAUAAAUUUUUUUAGUAUUAGUUAAAUUUAUUAAUUAAAAUAAAAUUGAAUUUAUUAAGUGAAAUUUUAUAUUCAAAAUAUUUUUUUAAAAAAUAAUUGAAGCUAAAAAAUUUUUUUAAAAAACUAGGAUUAGAUACCCUAUUAUUAAAAAUGUAAGUAUAAAUAUUAAAGUAGUAAUAGUUAUGUUCUUGAAACUUAAAAAAUUUGGCGGUAUUUUAGUCUAUCCAGAGGAACCUGUUUUGUAAUCGAUAAUCCACGAUGGACCUUACUUAAAUUUGUAAUCAGUUUAUAUACCGUCGUUAUCAGAAUAUUUUAUAAGAAUAAUAAUAUUCAAUAAUUUCAAUAAAAAUAUAUAUCAGAUCAAGGUGUAGCUUAUAUUUAAGUAAUAAUGGGUUACAAUAAAAUUAUUUAUACGGAUAAAAUUAUGAAAAAAUUUUUGAAGGUGGAUUUGGUAGUAAAAUUAUAAAGAUUAAUAAUUUGAUUUUAGCUCUAAAAUAUGUACACAUCGCCCGUCGCUCUUAUUAUUAAGGUAAGAUAAGUCGUAACAUAGUAGAUGUACUGGAAAGUGUAUCUAGAAUGAC